CCCUUAGAUGUUCUGGGCCGCACGCGCGCUACACUGAUGCAUUCAACGAGCCUAUCCUUGACCGACAGGUCCGGGUAAUCUUUGAAUCUGCAUCGUGACGGGGAUAGAUUAUUGCAAUUAUUAAUCUUCAACGAGGAAUGCCUAGUAGGCGCAAGUCAUCAGCUUGCGUCGAUUACGUCCCUGCCCUUUGUACACACCGCCCGUCGCUCCUACCGAUUGGGUGUGCUGGUGAAAUGUUCGGAUCGGCCGUUUGUCGCGGUUUCCGCGGCUCGUGGCUGAGAAGUUCAUUAAACCCUCCCACCUAGAGGAAGGAGAAGUCAUAACA
rnacentral:rRNA from 1 species